rnacentral:rRNA from 1 species
AACGAACGCUGGCGGCAUGCCUAACACAUGCAAGUCGAACGAGACCUUCGGGUCUAGUGGCGCACGGGUGCGUAACGCGUGGGAACCUGCCCUUAGGUUCGGAAUACCUCCCCGAAAGGGGUGCUAAUACCGGAUAAUGUCUUCGGACCAAAGAUUUAUCGCCUUUGGUUGGGCCCGCGUUGGAUUAGCUAGUUGGUAGGGUAAAAGCCUACCAAGGCGACGAUCCAUAGCUGGUCUGAGAGGAUGAUCAGCCACACUGGGACUGAGACACGGCCCAGACUCCUACGGGAGGCAGCAGUGGGGAAUAGUGGACAAUGGGCGAAGGCCUGAUGCAGCAAUGCCGCGUGAGUGAUGAAGGCCUUAGGGUUGUAAAGCUCUUUUAACCGGGAUGAUAAUGACAGUACCGAGAGAAUAAGCUCCGGCUAACUCCGUG